CCCACACCCAUGUGUGUAGGACCCCAAUGGAUCAUCAUUAAAUUUGACACAGAUCUCUAGAAAAGUUAUCACAUGGGUGUGAGACUUGAUUUUUUUAGAGAUUUGAGCCAAAUUUAAUGGUGAUCCUUUUGGGGUCUUAAACACAUGGGUGUGGG
rnacentral:pre_miRNA from 1 species